AGUGAACGCUGGCGGUAGGCCUAACACAUGCAAGUCGAACGGCAGCACAGGAGAGCUUGCUCUCUGGGUGGCGAGUGGCGGACGGGUGAGGAAUACAUCGGAAUCUGCCCAGUCGUGGGGGAUAACGUAGGGAAACUUACGCUAAUACCGCAUACGACCUCCGGGUGAAAGAGGGGGAUCGCAAGACCUCUCGCGAUUGGAUGAGCCGAUGUCGGAUUAGCUAGUUGGCGGGGUAAUGGCCCACCAAGGCGACGAUCCGUAGCUGGUCUGAGAGGAUGAUCAGCCACACUGGAACUGAGACACGGUCCAGACUCCUACGGGAGGCAGCAGUGGGGAAUAUUGGACAAUGGGCGCAAGCCUGAUCCAGCCAUACCGCGUGGGUGAAGAAGGCCUUCGGGUUGUAAAGCCCUUUUGUUGGGAAAGAAAUCUUUCAGGCUAAUACCCUGGGAGGAUGACGGUACCCAAAGAAUAAGCACCGGCUAACUUCGUG
rnacentral:rRNA from 1 species